rfam:Bifidobacterium pseudolongum PV8-2, complete genome.
CGGGCUGUGGCGCAGCUUGGUAGCGCGUCUGCUUUGGGAGCAGAAUGUCGCAGGUUCAAAUCCUGUCAGCCCGA